UGAUGAUUGUGUGACAUUGACACACACUUAAAACAAUGAUGUCUCUUAUUCUAAUGCUGUGGACACUCGGUCUGCUCGCUCAAGUGUCUCAUCAAGAGGUUCAGUCUCCUGAGUCUCUGAUUGUUAAAGCAGGAGAGUCCGUCUCUAUGAGCUGCACUGGGACCAGUGGAGUUGAUGAUGACAUGAGCUGGUAUCUGCAGAAACCUGGAGAAGCUCCUAAACUCCUGAUCUAUAAAGCAAGUACACUUCAAUCUGGAGUCCCAAAUCGGUUCAGUGGAAGUUAUUCUGGACUUCAUUUCACACUGAAUCUACGUGGAGUCCAGCCUGAGGAUGCAGGAGAUUAUUACUGUAUGGGGGCUUACAGUGACAGGUCCACACAGUGAAACAACAUCAUACAAAAACCUCCCUCAGUCAGACACUACA